AUACGGAGGGUGCAAGCGUUACUCGGAAUCACUGGGCGUAAAGGACGCGUAGGCGGCUUCAUAAGUCAGGUGUGAAAGCCCACGGCUCAACCGUGGAACUGCACUUGAAACUGUGAUGCUAGAGUCUGGGAGAGGCAGAUGGAAUUAGUUGUGUAGGGGUAAAAUCCGUAGAGAUCACCAGGAAUACCGAUGGCGAAGGCGAUCUGCUGGAACAGUACUGACGCUGAGGCGUGAAAGCGUGGGGAGCAAACAGGAUUAGAAACCCUAGUAGUCC
rnacentral:rRNA from 1 species